UGUGUCUGCUGCUAACUUUUUAGAUGUUUCAUAGGUGGUAUAGUUGCUGGUGCUAACACUGUUCAAAUUACCAUGGUAUUGAAGUUCGAUCUUAGGACCAAAGAAAUUAAACACGACAUUUGUUGCCAGUGCAGGGAUAUUGGUGCCAGUUUCACGAACAUGGAUUUGUUCAAUUACGAGGAAAGAUCUGUCCGGUGCAAUGAAUGGGAAAAGUAUGUACGCUCUGCUUUUGAUAACUUACAUCCUGGAAUGACACUUGGGUUCAUGGAAGGUGCGGAUUAAGUAUGUAGCAGUAAGAAGUUGAUAAGAAAUUGAAAGGGCAUGAAGUUGAUUUUAUUGGUAUCUGGAUUACAAACAACUUGAGGUUCAUAAUAAUGAUGAAGUGAAGGCUUUGUCAAUUAAGUGCACGGUGAAGUUGUUUGAUAUUCAAUUUUCAUAGUGAAGGUAGUAUCACAGAUAUCCCAAGGACUCGGACAAGGUGAUGCUUGCAAAGGAGAUAGCCUACCAAAGAGCCAGUUUUUUGAUUUCGCUCAGGGUUUUUACUUUGUGUUGUUGGAGGAAAAACAUUAUCAGAGGAAUAGAUCGAAGAAGGAUCAAGUUCAUUUUAUAUCUUGCUAUGUCUUAAGGGUGCUCAUGUACCCAAGAAACAAUAAGGUGCUGACACUUUUAUUUGUUUAGAGGUGUAAGUCAUCUUCUUUAAUUCUGUUUUGGUGGUUUUGGUGGUCUUUUUUGUUCACUGAUCACUGUUUUGGCGGUCUUUAAAGUAAAAUAGAAAAUAUAAGUAUAAGGUGCUGUCAGUUUUGUUUGUAGGAUCAAGUUCAUUUUAUAUUUUUAUACAGUGCUCAUGUACCCAAAGCAACAAUAAGGUGCUGACACUUUCCUUUGUUUGGAGGUGUAAGUCAUUAUUUUAUAUUUUGUUUUUGUUUUGGUGUUCUUUUUGUUCAAAGUAAUCAUCGAUACAAGUGAUCAGUGAACAGUAAACAAAAAAACUUUGGUUUUCCCUUAAUCCCGACUUUUAAGGCAGUUGUUUUUUUUAACAGAGAAGAGGACCAUUAACGACAGUUUAGUAUUUCGUUCAUCAAUUUUGUAACUA